rnacentral:rRNA from 7 species
AUUGCCUCAGUAACGGCGAGUGAAGCGGCAAGAGCUCAAAUUUGAAAGCUGGCCCCUCCGGGGUCCGCGUUGUAAUUUGCAGAGGAUGCUUCGGGCUCAGCCCCCGUCUAAGUGCCCUGGAACGGGCCGUCGGAGAGGGUGAGAAUCCCGUCUGGGACGGGGUGCCUGGGUCCAUGUGAAGCUCCUUCGACGAGUCGAGUUGUUUGGGAAUGCAGCUCUAAAUGGGUGGUAAAUUUCAUCUAAAGCUAAAUACUGGCCGGAGACCGAUAGCGCACAAGUAGAGUGAUCGAAAGAUGAAAAGCACUUUGAAAAGAGAGUUAAACAGCACGUGAAAUUGUUGAAAGGGAAGCGCUUGCGAUCAGACUCGCCUGCGGGGUUCAGCCGGCAUUCGUGCCGGUGUACUUCCCCGUGGGCGGGCCAGCGUCGGUUCGGGUGGCCGGUCAAAGGCCCCGGGAAUGUGUCGCCCUCCGGGGCGUCUUAUAGCCCGGGGUGCCAUGCGGCCUACCUGGACCGAGGAACGCGCUUCGGCUCGGACGCUGGCGUAAUGGUCGUAAGCGGCCCGUCUU